GAUGAAGAACGCAGCGAAAUGCGAUAAGUAAUGCGAAUUGCAGAAUUUCCGUGAGUCAUCGAAUCUUUGAACGCACAUUGCGCCCAUUGGUAUUCCGAUGGGCAUGCCUGUUCGAGCGUCAUUUGUACUCUCAAGCUAUGCUUGGUGUUGGGUGUUUGUCCUCUCCUUUGCGAUUGGACUCGCCUUAAAAUAAUUGGCAGCCAGUGUUUUGGUAUUGAAGCGCAGCACAAUUUGCGAAUCAAGCCUGGAUACUAGCAUCCAUGAAGCUAUUUUACACUUUUGACCUCGGAUCAGGUAGGGAUACCCGCUGAACUUAAGCAUAUCAAUAAGCGGAGGA
rnacentral:misc_RNA from 1 species